ACACAACUCCCUGCGUUGAUUAAUAGCAUGAUUUGAGCAGAAGCGAAGCGGACGAGUUCCAUCAUUUUUAAAAUCGUCACUUUAUCGCUGCGGCACGAUAAAAAUGAUUAGGAAACUCUAUUUUAUAUUCAAAGCAUUUUUCGACAUCGAGUAACCGGCUCGUAAAACGCGAAUACGCCCCACCAUUUCUUUGAGAUCGUCGUCCUUGUCGUUUCUUUCGCGGCUUCUGCUCCUCCAUUUGCCGCGGCACAAAGCACCAUUUUUUGCCGAAACUUCCUCAACAGUGGCUCCCUUGUCGCGCGAAAUUUCGUACCACCCACCGAGCGCGUGUUGCCUCCAAAUCUUAACAAGUGGAAGUUUGCAAUCACACAAAUUAUUAUUCAUAAAUGCGACCCUGACUUCGACCUGAACUCGAUUCGACUUAUACGAAGCUGCUUCCUCGCUCGGGACGGAGUAUCGUUCACAAUCAUCGAGGCAAUGAUAUCGAUGCUGACCGUGACACACGUAACACCUCGAUCUCACAGUGUUACGCAUUGUGAAAAAAUCCUGGCCGUCUCACACCGCCAGAAGCACACGCGUCAUCCUCGAAGCUCGCUGCUGGCGUCUCCGAAGUGGCACUUUUUUGCCGCGACGACGAGGACAGCGUAGCAUGUGCUCGGUCUGCUUGUAACAGCGCCGGAACGAUCAUGAGUGUGUCGACAGAAAAAGCGGAGAAUUUGACAAUUCACGAGGGGGAAAAAAAAGGACGGAUGGUUAACACGCUUCUUGAGAGGCCGUGGACAAAUUUAUUUGGUCGGCCGCUUCCUGUUCCGCAGUUUCGGCCGAUAGCAGUUGGCGUCGGUCCCACGGAAUCUCCCACGGCGACUAUCGACUCCGGAAAGGAGAAUUUUUAUUCAAUUGUAGAAUUCAUAUGAAAUCAUCCUCGAAAUCGCCGAACUCUUCUUCUGCGCAGACUACCGCGAAAUAAGUUGCAACAAUGUAACUGACAAUAAGCAUCAUUGGCGACAGACGUGGAGAACAUCCUAUCUCAUAUCUACAACUAAUGGACGAUAUUAAAACUCGUUUGUAUCUCAAACUGGCAACUUUAUUCGAUUGAUUUGUUGCAUGAUUGCGUAACACGAGCACGUUGCCUGAUGUGAAGGUUUACACUUGCCCUCGCGUCUCAUCCUCACUGACACACUUAUCCUUUGUGCGAUUAAAGAUCCGUUUUCGUACACGCAAAAAUUCGGCCAGCUGCCAUGUCGGUGUCGUUGAAAAAUGCGGGAUAAAAAAAAACAUUUAUAUUACAUCCGCCGUUUCCUACGAGGAGGGGACAAAUAGACAAAUGCUCCUUUUCACAUAAGACGCAACGAAUCGAAUCGAUAGGUAUCAAUGAAUGCAUACACAAACACACAAGCGUCCCAUGAUAAAAUACGAAUCUUAUUGAUCUCAUUAUUUCUAUAAUUUUGACAAUGGUUUUUUUUUUCCUUUUCUCACACAUGUUAGCGGUUAACACGUAUAUUAAUCUAAUAAAUACUGACAGAAUCGUAUCCGAAUGAUAAAUCAACACAUAUCCUUAAUUAAAAAAUAUCGCUGUUGUACUUCAUUCUAAAAUUAAAGACGAUUAGAGCUUGUCUUAUCAAAUCGACCGCCGGCCUGUUCUAUUUCCGAGUAGAUCCAGUGAUUGCUUGUUUCUUCCUAGGCAUCGAAACCCAUCAUGCAGGAUAAUAACGAGAUUCGAUUUAUUGAUGUAGAUGUGGAGAGCCAACAACUUGUAUCGAUUAUACGCACUCUUCUCUCUAUUGACGUCGACUAUAGAAGAUGCGAAAGCACCGUCGUGAUUGUUUUUUUCUUUUUUUUUUUACGCUGACUUCAACUUUACCACAUACAUACAUACAACGAUAAUCUCGUAAAGUGAAAUCACCAUUAGAAGUAAUGUAUCAAAUGUGAGAAAUGUUUACGAAACACUUACUUUACGUGACACGAAGUGUGGAAGAACACGAACGAGGUGAAAUAAGAUCAAAGUAUUUUUGAGCGUGACAAAACUGCGAUCGAUGUCGUCGAUGA